UAUAGUCAAAGAUGAUUUUAUAUAAAGUUAUCCAGGUCUGAUAAUCAAUGUUGAUAACUUUCUUUCUGAGACUAUA